rnacentral:lncRNA from 1 species
UAUAUAUGGGGAUCACCUAUAUUUUCUACCAAGAGGGCAUACCAUUCCAUCAUGGGUUCUAGGAAUGUACACCAAGCAUUCAAAUGGCUAUGGAAAUCGAAAUGUCAAAGGAAACAUAAAAUCUUCUUCUGGUUACUGCUCGUGGACAGACUAAACACGAGAGAUCUUCUAAGAAGAAGACAGAUGGCACUGGAGUCUUACAACUGCGAGCUCUGCAUCAGACAAAAAAGAGAGACGGCAUAUCAUUUAUUUUUCCGCUGCAACUUUGCAAAAGCUUGCUGGAGAAGUAUUGGGAUUACUUAUGUGCAUACAAGGCCGAUCUUGAACAUAUUAGAGCAACUAAGAAGGAAAUUAGGAACACCGUUUUCUAUGGAGAUUAUAAUCCUGAUGGAGUGGAGCAUCUGGACAACAAGAAACAACUGGAUGUUCAACAAUAUUGAUCCUCUCA